UACGUAGGCAGCAAGCGUUGUUCGGAGUUACUGGGCGUAAAGGGUGUGUAGGCGGUUCCCUAAGUUUGGUGUGAAAUCUCCCGGCUCAACUGGGAGGGUGCGCCGAAAACUGGGGGGCUAGAGUACUGGAUGGGAGAGUGGAAUUCCUGGUGUAGCGGUGAAAUGCGUAGAUAUCAGGAGGAACACCUGUGGUGUAGACGGCUCUCUGGACAGUAACUGACGCUGAGACACGAAAGCGUGGUUAGCAAACAGG
rnacentral:rRNA from 1 species